rnacentral:rRNA from 1 species
GACGAACGCUGGCGGCGUGCCUAACACAUGCAAGUCGAACGGGUGAGAGGAGCUUGCUCCUCGAUCUAGUGGCGAACGGGUGAGUAACGCGUGAGAAACCUGCCUUUCAGUGGGGGACAACAGUUGGAAACGACUGCUAAUACCGCAUAAUGUGCCGGGAGGGCAUCCUCCUGGUACCAAAGCUUUAUGUGCUGAAAGAUGGUCUCGCGUCUGAUUAGCUAGAUGGCGGGGUAACGGCCCACCAUGGCGACGAUCAGUAGCCGGUCUGAGAGGAUGAACGGCCACAUUGGGACUGAGAUACGGCCCAGACUCCUACGGGAGGCAGCAGUGGGGAAUAUUGGGCAAUGGGGGAAACCCGUGACCGAGCAAUGCCGCGUGAGUGAAGACGGCC